CAGGGAGGUGUAAUGCAGCCCAUCACGAAGAGUUAAUGUUACCAACCAGAAAUUGAUCAUUUUAAUAUUAAUGCACACCCUAAAGAGGUUUAUUUCUCUUACACAACAGCAAUUGCCAACCACUAAUUUUUUUUAUUAAUUAAAGAACAACACAUUAUACUUUUUAUCCACUUAUAGUUAUAUUUAAUGUUGUAGAAUGUCUGCAAAACUAGUUCCUGUUGUCACUUCUGUUAUAGCAGCUAUAAACAGUCACCAGCCUACUUUUUCUCUCUUGAAAUCAAUGAGAAAAAAACACACAAAGCGCAGUCUUCUGUUCUGAAUAAUUUCUGAGGGAGAUUAAAAAACUUAAGUUAGAAAAGUAAGCUAGAAAGUUAGAACACCUACUGACUGUUAGAAAGUGCUGACACUGGAGACCCUUUCCAAUAAUUUUAUCGAAAACGCCUACUGACCAAUCAUAUUCAACAAUUAAGCAGUGCUGUGGGAUAAAAUAAGUUUAACCAUGCUAAUGUGGGUGGCCGGUUAUUAAUCCAUUAACCUGGCAGACAAUUGAAAGCGGUUGCAUAGUGUGUGGCCCUCGAGUGGCAUCGCUGUCCUAACGUAAAUACAUCAGUAGCUAUCUGUGUAUGUUAAACCAUCUGUACUGUGUCUAUUCAGAGCACUGUGUUCAUUUUGUCCUUUCAGAGACUAAACAAAACACCAGAGCUUCAGGGAGGCACUAUAUGAACAGGGUCGUACACAACGUAUGACUGACAGCUUGAAAGCUUGGAUAGGAGUAGGGUCCAGAAAUGUCAAAUACCAUGCAGGACACCUGGCAACAUUUUAGAGUAGACCCACAUAUGGAUGUGAUGGUCAGGUGUCCACAAUCUUAUGGUCAUAUAGUGUAUGUGGUUCCAACGCCAGUGAAUACCAACAUGCAGAGACAUCCAUCCAACGCCAGUCUGUUCUGACUUUAAAUAGUUUAGGAAUCUCUAAAAAGAUGUUGCUAUUGGACUGUUUUUGGUCUGUCCUUUGUCUUUUUUUUGUCAAUAUUAAGUUUGGAAGCACAUACACUAUAUGACCAUAAGAUUGUGGACACCUGACCAUCACAUCCAUAUGUGGGUCUACUCUAAAAUGUUGCCACAAAGUAUGAAGCACACAAUUGUCUAGGAUGUCUUUGUGUGCUGUAGGAUUAACAUUUCCCCUCACUAGAAUGAAGGGGCCCAGACCUGUUCCAGCAUGACAGUGCUCCUGUGCACAAAGUGAGGUUCAUGAAGACAUGGUUUGCCAAGGUUGAUGUGGAAGUAUUUGAGUGGUCUGCACAGAGCCCUGACCUCAACUCCACUAAACACCUUUGGGGUGAACUGUAACGCUGACUGCACCCCAGACCUCCUCGCCUGACAUCAGUGCCUGACCUCACUAAUGCUCUUGUGGCUGAAUGAGCAAAUUCCCACAGCCACGCUCCAAAAUCUAGUCUGAAUUCUUCCCAGAAGUUUGGAGGUUAUGCUAAUGGCAAAGGGGAACUAAAUCUGGAUUGGGAUGUUCAACAAGCAUACAUAUUUCUCAUAAAGCUAAAUGGUGGAAUUUACUGUAUUUUUUGUCUUCUUUUGAGAAAAAUAUUUUUUUUCUUAAUGAUUUUCUUCAUUUGAAAAUGUAAAUAAAAACGCAAUGUGAUUGUGAUUUACCAGUGUUUGAAGUGAGAUGAUAUUCCCAGCAACUCCCAGCAAAGAUGUCGUUUUGAAGUCUUCUUAUCUUCUGGGACUUUAUUCAAAUGGAGCUUGUGGUUCAAAUCGAUCUUGUGAAUUUUUUUUUUUUUGGAAGCAAUAUACGCUCACAGUUCGAGUAUAUUCAAGAUAAAACUUGUGAGAACAAUUGUUGCUAGGUAUAAAAAUUUGCUGUUAAAUUACAAAGAAAUUAGGCUAAAAAUUGAACUAGCUAGCACAUGCUUGCAAAUGUUUUUGCAGACAAGACAAAGUCAGUGUAACAGUAAAACAAAAAUAUCAGGAAUUUAAACAUUUAACUCAGAUAUUUUGGUAAAUGACUAAGAAAAGACUAAGAAUGUGUAAAAUUACACUGUAACAAAUAUAGAAUCAACUUCUGUGAGUUCCACCAUAUUGACAGAUGUUGACAUUGUGCCAUUUUUCAUGACUUUGUUCUAUAAAUAUCACAAUAGUGAGUAAUUUAUAUGAAAUCUUAUCAUAAACCUGAACAUGCCUGGGAAGCCCAGUCCCCAGAAAAGGAGCUUAAAAUAGUCUCUGAUUGCAGCGGCCAUCUGUAUGAAACACUAUCAACAUGAGAAAUGAACCAAGACAGUGGCUUCCCAUGACCCUCUCUGUGGUAUUUACCUUUUGACCCCAUCUGUUGGGCUUAUAUAUCCUUGAGGAGCUUUUUGGACACCAGAGUAGCUGUGCGUGCACGUACUCAGCUAAUGAUGUGGGUAUGCAUACAAACAUAUAAAUUAGCGGAAAAGGGAGGACAAGGAGAAAGAGAGUUACAAAACGGAGUGUGUGGUAUGAUUGGUCAGUGUGGAAUUCCAUUGAAGGCAUUUCCCACAGCUGGAUCUGCAGCCCAGAACAAACAAAGCACUUUCUUGGGAAUAGAGAUCCUAACUCAUAGACUUCUUCGUCUGCAUCUCCGCAGUAGGUCUAGCUGCAAAUGGAAAGUAAAUUUUGUUCAACAAUACUAUUGAUGUUUUUUGCAGUUUUUGUUCAGUUAGCUAGCAUUACUUUACACUGUCAUACAACUGCUGUGUAAUCUGUUCAUAAAAAUGUCACUUGUAAGUAAUUUUGAAGUUAUUUUCUAGAAAAGGUGCAACUGUGUAAAAAAAGGAACAAUGCUGAGUCUCUUGCUAAUUAUAGAACGUAAACAGAGGAUUAGCUUGAACAAGCAAAGAUUGUUAAAUGCCCUGUUUGUUGCCAAAGGAUUGAAGAUGCCGCCACACUGCCAAAAUUCCUAGAUACUCUGUAUUACCUCAAGUUUUAAACAGGAGCAGAGCAGAGGAGUGUAGGAGAAGGUGUUUUGUCCGAGAGUAGUACACAGUCCAUCCGUUACUGCUGGAUGUUUGGAUUAUGAGUACUGCUGACUAACCGUGCCUUAACGGCGUUUGAGUUUUAUUGCUUUAUCUGGAAAAAUGAAUCAAAGGAGACCUGUUUUGCAAGAAAAAAAUAAAUCCGAAUUACACUCAAAUGGAAAGAGGAACAGAAGUAAAGACUGUCUUCUGGUGAAUGCUGAAUUCGGUGAUGACAGUUGUGGCUAUUAUGGACAUCUCUAUAGUGACUGUGCACAUCAGACUCGGCAGAUGGUGGCUAAGAGCAGGAGGCAGGCCUCACGGGGGGCGGCUUAUAUGUUCAAUGCACAUCCCAACAGCCUGACACCUGUGGAGGAGCGCUUCCUGGAUGCUGCUGAGUAUGGAAACAUCCCUGUAGUGCGGCGAAUGCUUGAGGAGAUUCCUGGGCUGGAUGUGAACUGUGUGGACUACAUGGGCCAGAAUGCCUUACAGAUAGCAGUGGCCAACGAACAUCUCGAGGUUACGGAACUUCUGUUAAAGAAGGAUAACUUGUCUCGGAUUGGUGACGCGCUCCUUUUAGCUAUAAGCAAAGGCUACAUACGAAUUGUUGAGGCCAUCCUGAAUCACACGGCCUUUGCUGACUCCAGGAGAUUAACCGCCAGCCCAAGAGAGGCAGCAAUGCACGAUGACUUCUUUGCAUAUGACGAAGACGGGACUCGCUUUUCUCAUGACAUCACGCCGAUCAUCCUGGCAUCUCACUGCCAUGAGUAUGAGAUCGUCCACAUCCUCCUGGGCAGAGGGGCUCGUAUCGAUCAGCCCCAUGACUAUUUCUGUACCUGUGACACCUGCAAUUACCAUCAGAAAUAUGAUUCAUUCAGUCACUCACGCUCACGGAUCAACGCCUACAGAGGCCUGGCCAGUCCAGCUUACCUCUCUCUGUCCAAUGAAGAUCCAGUGCUGGCUGCUUUAGAGCUCAGCAAUGAACUUGCCUGUUUGGCGAAUAUUGAGAAGGAAUUCAAGAAUGAUUAUAGGAAACUCUCUAUGCAAUGCAAAGGCUUUGUAGUUGGACUUCUGGAUCUGUGUCGGAGCACAGAGGAAGUGGAGGCCAUUUUGAACGGUGACGUAGAUGAGAGCUCUGAACUACCAGGCCGACCAAGCCUCACCCGACUGAACCUUGCAAUAAAGUAUGAACUUAAAAAGUUUGUUGCGCAUCCUAAUUGCCAGCAGCAGCUCCUCUCAAUCUGGUAUGAGAAUCUGCCUGGAUUGAGACAGCAGACCACAGCCAUCAAGUUUUUGGUGGUCCUGGGCGUUGCGAUAGGACUGCCCUUCUUAUCCAUCGUGUACUGGGUGGCACCGUGUAGUAAGCUGGGAAAAAUUAUGCGAGGCCCUUUUCUGAAGUUUGUGGCUCACGGAGCAUCUUUCACUAUUUUCCUUGGCUUGUUAGUGUUCAAUGCAGCUGAUCGCUUUGACGGGAGCAAACUGUUGCCAAAUAUGACCGUCCAUGACUAUCCAGCACAGCUGUUCCGCAUGAAAACAACUCCCUUCACAUGGAUGGAGAUGCUCAUCAUCUUCUGGGUAAUAGGGAUGAUCUGGGCUGAAUGCAAAGAGAUCUGGUGUCAGGGGCCGAGAGAGUACCUCCUCGAACCUUGGAAUAUGUUGGAUUUUGGAAUGUUAGCCAUUUUUAUAGCCUCCUUUGUCACAAGGAUACUGGCUUACUGGCAUGCAUCUAUAGCACAGAGUUACGUUGAUAAACACUACACAGAUAUAACAAAUGUAACCUUACCACCAGCGAUCGAAUACUUCAGACUGGCUCGUCUCUCCUGGCUGCCGUCAGAUCCACAGCUGGUUUCUGAAGGGCUGUAUGCCAUUGCAGUGGUUUUGAGUUUCUCUCGAAUCGCAUAUAUCCUUCCAGCCAAUGAGAGCUUUGGACCCCUGCAAAUCUCUUUGGGAAGGACUGUAAAAGACAUCUUCAAAUUCAUGGUGAUCUUCAUUCUGGUCUUUCUGGCCUUCAUGAUUGGAAUGUUCAACCUAUAUUCAUAUUAUUUGGGGGCUAAACAGAAUGACGCAUUCACAACCAUAGAAGAAAGCUUCAAAACACUGUUUUGGGCCAUUUUUGGACUCUCUGAGGUCAAGUCAGUGGUUGUGAACAACGGACACAAGUUCAUUGAGAACACCGGUUAUGUGCUCUAUGGAGUGUAUAACGUCACUAUGGUCAUUGUGUUGCUCAACAUGCUCAUCGCAAUGAUCAAUAGCUCCUUUCAGGAGAUUGAGGAUGACGCAGAUGUGGAGUGGAAAUUUGCCCGGACCAAACUCUGGUUUUCCUACUUUGAGGAGGGCCGGACCCUCCCUGUGCCAUUCAAUCUGGUGCCUAGCCCAAAGUCUGUGCUUAGCCUGGGCCUUGGUUUAAAAUCGCUGCUGAUGAAACUCUUCCAAAAACAUAGAGCCUUUAUGAAGAACGAGGCAGAACUCAUUAGGAGAGAAUAAAACCAACAAAAUGACGAGUCAUCGAUACCAGGUAUGACUAUCACUGGAGAAUUCUCUAAUCAAGCCCUGGUGGACCACAGUACUGCACAGCUUAAUGCUUUCCCAUGCUGUUCACGCAACAUAAUAGAUUUACACAAUGUUCCCUUUCCUUCAAAUGCAGCCAGCCAAGAGAUGGUUGGUGUCUGCCUAGAGUCAUUGUAACUGACAUCGUUACUGUUUAUAGAUUACAGUAAGUCACACUGUGUCCUAAACCACAUCUGCAAGUCUGUGUGACUUCAGUGAAGAAGUAGAUGUGGUUUAUAGCAGAUAUUCUUGGAAAAGAUUCAUGUAAGACAGACUUCCAAACUAUUCGUUAGCCUUGUAGAUCCAGUGCACUAAAGGAGCGAACAUCAAACACCAAAUAUGUGACUAAUUAACUACAUUUGGGACCAGGGAAAAUUGUGUAAUUUUUUUUUUUACCAAACUAUUCCUUAAAAACACUCUAUCCUGUAUAUCUUACGGUAUUCCUGUGCAUUUAUGCGGUUAUUCAGUCAGCUAAAUCACACGACAAGCAGUGUUGAGCAUAAAAUCAUGCAGAUUCAGGUCAAGCGCUUCAGUUAUUUUUAGCAUCAAACAUCAGAAUGGGGAAAAAAAUGUGAUCUCAGUCGGUGAAUUUGACUGUGGCAUGGUUGUUGGUCCCAGAUGGGUUGAUUUGAGUAUUUCAGAGACUGCUAAUCUCCUGGGAUUUUCAUGCACAACAUUCAUAAGUUGUGGACAUGGUAUGGAACGUUGUGCAGAUUGACCCUUGUAGCACACUGUGAUGUCAAUCACCAGGUUCUUAGGUUUCAGACACCUAAUCUUAGAUAGGAACCUUGAGUUCAGUCACACAGUCACCCUAGAACCAUCUGGUCAUCAGUGCGUGCAGGGCGAGCUUAUCAUCAUGGUAUGUCUUUAGCUUUAGCCCUUUGCUGAGGUGAUCAUCAGCCGAAAAGGCUGUCUACAAUGACACUCCUUCCAGAUGAGCACUUCUUCCAGAUGAGAUGUGGCCACUGUAGCCUCAGAUUCCUGUUUUUGGAUGACAGGAGUGGAACCCAGUGUGUUCUUCUUUUGUUGUAGCCUCAAGGUUCAACAUGUUGUGCCUUCUGAGAUGCUUUUUUGCUCACCAUGGUGGCCAUUCACCUCUGACCUCUCUCGUCAACAAGCCGUUUUCACCCACAGAAUUGCCACUCAAUGGAUCUUUUUUGGUUUUCACACCAUUCUGAGUAACCUUAUAGACUGUUGUAUGUGAACAUUCAAGGAGAUUUGCAGAUAGCACCACUCUGAUCAGCUUCAUUUCCAACAACGAUGUGCACACUGAUUGAUAAAAGGUGAUACGCCUAACAACAUGGUGCAGCCAAAACCACCUGGACCUCAACACAUAGAAAACACAGGAGCUGGUCAUUGACUUUAGGAGGAAAAUGCCAUCUCACUCCACACUGGACAUACAGCGCAGCAGAAUCUUUCAAAUUUCUGGCCACUCUUAUGUCACAGGACGUGAAAUGGGAAGACAACAUCAUUUCUAUUACAAAGAAGACCCAGCAGCAACUCCUCUUUCUGUGACAGCUAAGAAAAAGCACAAACUCUCCCAAAACUAUUGAUACAGUUUUAUACAGCUAUCAUCAGGUUGAUCCUAACAUCAUCUGUAACAGUUUGGUUCAGUGCAGCUAAAGCUGAGCUACAGCGGACUAUCAGAAAGGCUGAGAAAACGAUUGACUGUAGCCUACCAUCCUUACAGGACUUAUAUCUAGCCAGAGUAAGAAAGCGUACACAAAAGAUUUCAACUGAUUCUACACACUACCUACUACCUUUUCCAAAAAUAUCCCUCUGGCAGCGCUUCCAGUCAGUAAAAACAAGAACCAUAAACACCAAAACAGCUUUUUCCAAAGAACUGUAGCAAUUAUCAACAAACUCUAACUCACACACCCACUUCUCAAGACUGUUUAUUAUUUGCACUGACAGCACCUUGAUCUUAAAAACACUCUUGCACAUUCCUUUUGGACCUCGGUGUGUGUGUGUGUGUGUGUGUCGUGUUGUUCCCAUAUGUCUGCACCUUGUACCAAGACAAAAUCCUUGUACAUGCAAGUGUGCUUGGUGAAACAAAAUGAUUCUGAUUCUGAUUUCUGUAAUACUCAACCCAGCCCAUCGGGCACCGACAACCACGACACGUUCAAAGUCACAGAUGCUAAUGGUAGGUGUGUAUGCACAGUUAGGAGUUGAAACCAGUGCAAACUGGUUGAGGGAUUAAAAGCAGACAAAGCUCUGAAUUGUGCAGUGCUGUGAUCCUGCCGAAAUGGACUUUAUUUUAUAUCAUUCUGUCUGUGAAAUGACAGUGCAUGUGUGGUUAAAAUGUCUUUUGAAUUCAUUUCAAAUUUUCCCCCUAUUCUGAUGUGAACAUUAACGGAAGCUCUUGACCUGCAUUUGCAUGGUUUUAUGCAUUGUGUUGCUGCCACAUGAUUGGCUGAUUGGAUAACUGCAGGAAUGAGCAGGUGUAAAGGUGUUCCUAAUAAAGUAACCAGCGAGUGUAUAUUUGUUUUACAGUUGAUAACUGACACUGUCUAAUAGCAACUGUAAAUCAAAUCUGGUUAAAACAACAACAACAACAACAAAAGUAACUGCCUCACACCUCCAGGGCUGGGGGUUCGAUUCCUGGCUCUGCCCUGUGUGUGGAGUUUGCAUGUUCUCCCAGUGCUUUGGGGGUUUCCUCCAGGUACUCCAGUUUCCUCCCUCAAUCCAAAGACAUGUGUUGUAGGCUGACUGGUAUCUCCAAAUUGUCCAUAGUGUGUGAAUGUGUGUGUGAUUGUACCCUGCGAUGGGUUGGCACCCCUUCCAGGGUGUCUCCUGCCUUGUGCUCCAAGUCUCCUGGGAUAGGCGCCAGGCUCCCCGUGACCCUGUGUAGGAUAAGCAGUACAGAAAAUGGAUGGAUUCCCAAGAUUUAGGAAUUGUUUACCUUAAUUUCAAAUAACGGGUUAAAUGUAAUAAAACAUAGAAACACUCCACAUAUUCAGAAAAACUUUGACAUGCAGUGUAAAUAGAGCCCCUAAAAUCCUUUCCCUUUCUUGGGAAUCUGUUAAUGGCAGGUAUGUAUGCACAGUUAAACCUAACUCAAACAGAAGGAUUAAAAGCAGAGAAAGCUCUGAAUUGUGUAGUGCUGUGAUCCUGCAGAAAUGGACUUUAUUUCAUGUCUGUGAAAUGACAGUGCAAGUGAGGUUAAAAUGUCUUUUGAAUUCAUUCCAAAUUUACACAGAAGAUUAUGAAGCGCCUGAUCAAGCGGUACAUCAUCAAAGCUCAGAUGGACAAAGAAUUUGAUGAAGUCAACGAGGGUGAACUGAAGGAAAUAAAGCAAGACAUUUCCAGUUUGCGCUACGAGCUUCUUGAAGAAAAGACGCACAACAUGGAGCGCAUGGCUGAACUUAUCAGCAAACUUGAAAAACGCGUCUGUUUGCAUAAGGAGUGAAACAGAAG